UACAGAGGGGGCAAGCGUUGUUCGGAAUUACUGGGCGUAAAGGGCGCGUAGGCGGCCCGCUAAGUCGAACGUGAAAUCCCCGAGCUCAACUCGGGAACUGCGUCCGAUACUGGCGGGCUUGAAUCCGGGAGAGGGAUGCGGAAUUCCAGGUGUAGCGGUGAAAUGCGUAGAUAUCUGGAGGAACACCGGUGGCGAAGGCGGCAUCCUGGACCGGCAUUGGCGCUGAGGCGCGAAAGCUAGGGGAGCAAACGGG
rnacentral:rRNA from 1 species